rnacentral:lncRNA from 1 species
AAAUGUUCUAAGUUGGGGCCCUUGUGCUUCAUACCUGAACAUCCAAGAUCAAUUCCUUCCUUGCUUGGACCUUUUGUAAGUGUCCUUUCAUGCUUAUGCAGGUGCUAAACGGAAUAGGCUGGUUUCUCCUAGCAUCAUAUAGAAGUCUCGCAAGCUUAGAUGCCUGAAGUCUGUUGAACAAUGUUUCAUUUAUCUUUGAUCCGCCUGUGGAUCCUUUACUUUCCGUUUGUACUCUUUUUGACCUCAUAAGUGUUUUAUGCUUAUACUCUUUUUCUUUUGGCUUCAAGAGCUUUGAUAUAAGCACACUUUUGAGUUUUGUUCAUUUCCUUCUUCCCUUUUUACCCUUCCCAUUCAUAAGUAAUAAAUUACUUACUGGGAGAUUUUUAUGAAAGAAUCCUCAGUCCAA